rnacentral:rRNA from 1 species
UGCAGUCGAGCGGUAAGGCCUUUCGGGGUACACGAGCGGCGAACGGGUGAGUAACACGUGGGUGAUCUGCCCUGCACUCUGGGAUAAGCUUGGGAAACUGGGUCUAAUACCGGAUAUGACCGCAUGCUGCAUGGGGUGUGGUGGAAAGAUUUAUCGGUGCAGGAUGGGCCCGCGGCCUAUCAGCUUGUUGGUGGGGUAAUGGCCUACCAAGGCGACGACGGGUAGCCGACCUGAGAGGGUGACCGGCCACACUGGGACUGAGACACGGCCCAGACUCCUACGGGAGGCAGCAGUGGGGAAUAUUGCACAAUGGGCGGAAGCCUGAUGCAGCGACGCCGCGUGAGGGAUGAAGGCCUUCGGGUUGUAAACCUCUUUCAGCAGGGACGAAGCGUGAGUGACGGUACCUGCAGAAGAAGCACCGGCUAACUACGUGCCAGCCGCCC